GUGCAGGGUCCGGAGCACAGUGGCCAUCACAGUUGUGAGGUAAAAAAAGCAGACUGCUGCAAGCAGACACAGUCAAGGGAAGUCCUCUCUUCCAGUGUUCCGCAGGUUCUCUGUCAUGAUGUGUGCUACCCCUGCUUCCUGGUUCUGUGCUAAGAAUAGAGCUCAUUAGAACAACUUCUCUUAUUAUGAGGGGGUAAGGAGAGAGUUUGGAGCAGCGGUUGACAGCAUUCCGAGAAAGCAGGAAACGGUGCUUCUGCAGACAACCAACUGGUGGAGGGGAGUCCUGAGACCUGCCCAGGAAGAGAAGGAAGUUAGAUAUGAAGAAACAGAAGACCACCUUAUCUUUAUCGUGAAGACACCGGCUCAGAAUAUUUCUCCUUGCCUAGUAGCCAACCAGACAAGUGAUCAUUCCACUCACAGGAGACCAGCAGUUGAUCUCCUGGUGUGAAGAACAUACGGUGCAGUGAGGAACGAGGUGAGCAUCCAGAAAGCCACAGACAUUAUGUGACUCACCUCGUGUUGCCAUCCAUACUCUCAUGAGGAUGGCAACUGUCUACUGAAAGAACCUAGUAGGGAAACCCCCACUCAACUCCCGAUUCGGCGUGCACCCAAGAAUCUAUGC